rnacentral:misc_RNA from 1 species
GAUGAAGAACGCAGCGAAAUGCGAUACUUGGUGUGAAUUGCAGAAUCCCGUGAACCAUCGAGUCUUUGAACGCAAGUUGCGCCCGAAGCCAUUAGGCCGAGGGCACGCCUGCCUGGGCGUCACACGUCGUUGGCCCCCCAUCUACUCCUUCGGGAUUGCGGGGGGCGGAUGAUGGCCUCCCGUGCGCCUUGCCGCGCGGUUGGCAUAAAUGCCAAGUCCUCGGCGACGCACGCCACGACAAUCGGUGGUUGCGAAACCUCGGUUGCCGGUCGUGUGCGGUCGUCGCGCAUCGAGGGCUCGAAAAAAUUGCCGGGUUCCGGCUCGGCUUUCAACGCGACCCCAGGUCAGGCGGGGUUACCCGCUGAAUUUAAGCAUAUCAAUAAGCGGAGGA